GCUAACUCAGAGGUAGCCGCUGGCGCGUGUGGUAUAAUUGCGUGCAUUGUGCGUAGCAAAGCUCGUAUUUCAAUUCCACCGUCGUAUUUCGAAUUUUUGUUUUACUCCAAUCUGGUUUGACCAUAAAACCGUAGGUAAGGAGAUUACGUUUGUAUUUGUUGACUGCGAGUCCACAUCUAGACUGGACGGUCAGUCAUUUCUCAAGCCCUCUCGAGUUUGCUAGCUUCGGUGGCAAGCUAGCUAACUUGUUUGUCGUCGACAAAGGAGAUAAGUGACGCAUUUCGUGCGCCCCCUCAGCUCAAUAAAAUCAAACGUUCGAGUAUCUCCAGUUGUGUGGGUGUCAACGUUCGAUAUUCUUUUCGUGUUUCUAUUUGCUUCUGGGCGGAGCAAAUUCGAGUAACGAACUCAAGCGCAUUCUUUUGCGUGUUUAGCUUCCUCGUAGCGAGGUAGCACCAAGAGGCUUCAAGCUGGCUACCGGCCUUUCAGAGAACAUGUCCGAGUUGUACAUUCGGGUGGCCGAGGAUGAGAACGAAGAGCCGAUGGAGAUCCCCUCGGAGGACGACGGCACGGUUCUGCUGUCGUCGGUUGCGGCCCAGUUUCCAGGGGCGUGCGGGCUUCGCUAUAGAAAUCCGGAGUCCCAGUGCAUGCGUGGAGUUCGGCUUGUGGAGGGCGUCCUGCAUGCGCCAGAGAGCGACUGGGGGAACCUGGUCUACGUGGUCAACUACCCCAAAGAUAACAAAAGAAAGAUGGAGGAAAUAGAUGCCGCCUCAGCUGUGAAAGUCAAAAGGGGUUACCAGAAGACAUCAGACCUUAUUGUCCUCGGCCUGCCAUGGAAAACCACAGAGCAAGACUUAAAGGAAUAUUUCUCCACCUUUGGCGAGGUCAUCAUGGUACAGAUCAAGAGGGAUGCAAACACAGGCAACUCCAAAGGAUUUGGCUUUGUGCGUUUCACUGAAUAUGAAACCCAGGUGAAAGUGAUAUCUCAGAGGCACAUGAUAGAUGGACGAUGGUGUGACUGCAAGCUCCCCAAUUCAAAGGCAGAUGUUUGCGGUGCUUUUCCUGACGAGCCCAUGCGGAGUCGUAAGAUCUUUGUGGGCCGCUGCACGGAGGACAUGACCCCCGAUGAGCUGCGGCAGUACUUCAUGCAAUAUGGAGAAGUCACUGAUGUCUUCAUCCCCAAGCCCUUCCGGGCGUUCGCCUUUGUUACGUUUGCUGACGACCAGGUGGCCCAGGCCCUGUGCGGAGAGGACCUGAUCAUCAAAGGCGUCAGCGUGCACAUCUCCAACGCUGAGCCCAAACACAACAAUAGUAGGCAAAUGAUGGAACGAGGGCGCUUUGGGGCUGGCGGCUUCAGUCAGGCGUACGGCGCUAGUCGCGGCGGGCUGGGCGCGGGCGGAGGGGGCAAGGGCGGGGUCAACUUCAGUGCCCUGGGGCUCAACCCGGCCAUGGUGGCAGCCGCCCAGGCGGCAUUGCAGAGCAGCUGGGGCAUGAUGGGCAUGCUGGCCAACCAGCAGGGGAUGAGCACGGCGGCCGGCGGCACGGCCGCCACCACCCGCGAUCAGACGUACGGCUCCACCAGCACCAGUUACAGCAGCCCCACAACAGCCAGCCUGGGCUGGCCGGCAGGCACUAACUCUGCCUCAGGCAGCGGCUUCAGCUCGGGCUUCGGCACCUCCAUGGAGACCAAGUCCUCCAACUGGGGCAUGUAGAUAAGUAGGCGGCAGUUGUGUCGGUAUCCUAGGCCAGGGCUCGGGGCCCGCCGUCAAAUUAGGAAAAGCGUUUAGUUUGAGGUGUUUGUCAGUUUAGCGUGGCCCUUUGAGACUGUACCAACAUUUUCGAGUCCUUGGUCUAGGCUCUUCCGGUAAGUACUAUAUAAAAAAAAAAAAACACUGCCUUUUUUUUGUUAAGUCAGAAUGUGUGUGAGUGACAUUAGUCAUGAGUGGGUUUAGUUAGCUGCCUUUCAGAAAACCAUGUGCAUGCGGCGUUGUUUGUAAACGUGCGAGAGUACCACCAGACCGCCAGGCCCUCUCAAGAGGGCUUGAUAUCCUUGUGUUGUGUAUGCAGUGCACUUCUACUUUUUUUUCUGAUCUGAUGGAAACGCCUUGCCGACCAUCUCUCCUGCAGUUAACCAACUGUUUCGCACGCUCCCGGGAGGAAGCGCCUCACUGGCGGCAAUGUUCUACAGAUCUCAGUAUCACGUGUAAACGCUUUGCCAUCAACACCACACAAGCUUCACUCUGCAUUUACUGUACUCCACGGGGCCCUCGGACACGGAUCGUCGGAACCAGGAGUCACUCACGGGGGGAGUUGAAGACCGCGGGAGAAACCACAAUGGAAUUUCUACACGAAUGCCUUAAAUCCAGAAAAAGGAUCUUCAAUCCCGCCCCGCGAGAAACCUUGGACCCCCUCAUGUUUAAGUGGCCCCAAGUCCCACUGACAACCAGUCUAAUCUAACAUACAGGAAGCCGCCUGUUCUUGUUUUGUUUCGUUGUGAAGUACAUUUGGUGCACACAAGUUGAGCAUAUGAACCGAUAUUAUGGACAAAGGACAUAAUUUAGUCAUGUGGAAAAAUAAACGCAUUUGAGUUGUUCACAUGUCUGUCAUUGGAGAUGAAAAGCAGAUUUAUUUGUACUCCACUUUGAGCUCUGUUUAUUGUGAGCCCAUGUCUGACCGCCUCCAUAGCAUCAUUGUUUAUUUUGAUAGCUACGCGUUUCAUUUGCUGGUGAUUCGGUGUCUAGUGAGAUUUAGUGCACCCGAUUCUGACUGCCUUGUAAAUUUCCAUGUCAAUUUUAUUUUAAAUUAAGUGAUUGCGGAAACGAACGAUUCAAGAUGGACAUGUUCCCUUCAAGGAGAUUAAACUUUAAACCUAUA